rnacentral:rRNA from 1 species
UGGGGAAUAUUGCACAAUGGGCGAAAGCCUGAUGCAGCAACGCCGCGUGAGGGACGACGGCCUUCGGGUUGUAAACCUCUUUUAGCAAGGAAGAAGCGAAAGUGACGGUACUUGCAGAAAAAGCGCCGGCUAACUACGUGCCAGCAGCCGCGGUAAUACGUAGGGCGCAAGCGUUAUCCGGAAUUAUUGGGCGUAAAGAGCUCGUAGGCGGUUUGUCGCGUCUGCUGUGAAAACCCGAGGCUCAACCUCGGGCCUGCAGUGGGUACGGGCAGACUAGAGUGCGGUAGGGGAGAUUGGAACUCCUGGUGUAGCGGUGGAAUGCGCAGAUAUCAGGAAGAACACCGAUGGCGAAGGCAGAUCUCUGGGCCGUAACUGACGCUGAGGAGCGAAAGGGUGGGGAGCAAAACAGGCUUAGAUACCCUGGUAGUCCACCCCGUAAACGUUGGGAACUAGUUGUGGGGUCCAUUCCACGGAUUCCGUGACGCAGCUAACGCAUUAAGUUCCCCGCCUGGGGAGUACGGCCGCAAGGCUAAAACUUAAAUGAAUUGACGGGGUCAUAGCUGUUUCCU